rnacentral:lncRNA from 1 species
CUUAUUUAAUUUUUUUCAUUUUUAUGAUGAAAGCUAACAUUUGCAAAGCAAAUAAGAAAAACAACAAAUAAAUUGAUCCAGUGAAAAUUAAUAUAUAGUAAAUUUUAUUCAUCAAAAAAUCCACUCACAGCCAAAUCAAAACCCUAACCAAACGUUAGGAAGAACACAAGAUUAACAAACGCCGAUAAUUAAAUCAAUUAAUAGAAUAAUAAUCAUUGCCAUAGUAAGAAUCAAUGUCGAGUAUAUUCUAUAUACUAUUAUUUCUCUCUCAUCAUUUUCAGCUUCUCAAUCUUCCAAAACCAUGGAUAUCUACUGCACGAGAAUCCCAAUGACUGACAGGAGCAACGAAGAGCAAAUGAAGGUGCCCGAUACACCUAGCGAUAACCCAGCUCCGGUAUCUGGCCCCGGUGCCGGUGCCAGAGCCGGCGCAAAAUCAGCAUCCCGUGCCCUCACAUGAAAGGCUGCUAGGCAUAACACGACGAAGAUGGUAACAGCAGCUCUUGAAAUUCCGAAAAUUGCCAUUUGAUUAGUUUGAGAAGAGAAGAAAAAUUGAUAUGCAGAGAAAGAGGGAGAGAGAAGCUGAGAACUGUAGUGUGAGAGAGGUACCACUGAGUGGUAGGGGAGAUAUGAAGAUCAAGUAUUUAUAGCCGUAGGUUUUGGGCAACGGUUGAAUUUGAUUUGCUCUAACGUUCGAAUUUUUUAACGUUGCAAAUGUGGUCCCCAUAUAAGAAAGUUGAAAUGUGAGGUCAGAUAGGUGUCCCUAAAGUGUAGAUUUAAGACUUUUUUUUUUUUUUACAAGGUGUCCUAUUCUAGACUAAUCCUUGGGUCUGUGAUCCGGCCCCUCUUUACACAGUCCGGUUAAUCGCAGGAUGUGCCUCCAACUGGCCAGGGUCCGAGCGCUCCCCACCUGGUCUGACAAAGUGCCAAGCAAGCCAAUCCAAGUUGCACCUUGCCUUCCAAGAAUAAUUCUUGCCUUCCAAGUUCCCACUUGCCUUCCAAGAAUAAAUCCUUGCCUUCCAAAUGUUCCCUUGCCUUCCAAAAAUAAAUCCUUGCCUUCCAAGAGCCCCAUGUUUCGAACUCACGACCUCUGCUCUGCCAGGUUUGACAGCGUCCGUCCUUUGCCAGUGGAGAAGUGCCCUGGGAG